rnacentral:rRNA from 1 species
UACGUAGGGGGCUAGCGUUGUUCGGAAUUAUUGGGCGUAAAGCGCGUGUAGGCGGCUUUGCAAGUCGGGUGUGAAAGCCCUCAGCUCAACUGAGGAAGUGCGCCCGAAACUGCAGAGCUUGAGUGCCGGAGAGGGUGGCGGAAUUCCCCAAGUAGAGGUGAAAUUCGUAGAUAUGGGGAGGAACACCGGUGGCGAAGGCGGUCUGCUGGGCAGUUUCUGACACUGAGGCGCGACAGCGUGGGGAGCAAACAGG